rnacentral:misc_RNA from 1 species
CUUUUUUCUUUUUUUCCAAAGAUAGAGAUUUUAUUAGAUUAAAAACAUUGACUUAAAAGUCUAGUAACAGAGCUUACAAUAAACCUAACCAUUAGGCAUAAAUUAAAUGAAGAUCAAGCCCAUACAUAAACUCAACCCAAGACUCUAACAAAAGGAUCCAUGCACUCAACCCAUCAAAGUCACAAAACCAAAAAUGAAAACCCUAGCUGGCAGGAAGCCAUUCUCACAGCAUAAGCACCGUCGGCCUAGCUAGAAACUCAUUACUGAGGAUACUUCUUACUGAAGGAAGCGCACAGAUUGCUCAAGGCUAUGCCAUAUUAGAGAGACCCUUAUACCAUCCCCAAUAACGCCAACAAGGUGAAAAGAUCCAAAACUACUAUAUGCAGAGUAGAGAGCCAUGGAUGGAAUGCAGAGAAAGUAGAUCGGCGGAGCUUCAGCACACUUCUUCUCGCCUUAAGGAACCAGAAAACCCACUAAUGUUGCCGAAAUAUCCCUGAGAAUACCAACCUUAAGGAGAUUCUCACACCCACCUACAAAAUCAACACUAACAAUUAGCAGCAUAAAUAGAAGAAGAAACUCAUCACAACACAAACGCAGGUUACCCGCAUUAGAAACCCUCUCCGUUUAAAGCUCAAACCUAAGAAGCCAUCAAAAAACUCAAAAGACCUAUGUAAAAUCCCUACCUGAUAAGGGGAGAGUCAAACCCACAACCUAGGUAAGGAGGAGGAACUCCCCCCACCCGGAAGGGGCAGAGGAGAGUCACACACUAACGAUAGAAUAAAGAAUACAAAACUCCUAGAAAGAAAGAAAACAUAGAAAAUAUUUUAGCCCUG